AUCUAAAUAGUUUAUAAAAAAUACUGAUUUGUGAUAUCAGAGAAAUAAUGUUUAUUUUAGAUA
rnacentral:tRNA from 1 species